GUGUGCUUUCCGAUCUGUGCAUUAUGGGUAUUUGUUUAGAGUUGAUUUAUGUGUUAAUUAAGCAAGAUGGUUGGGUUUUUGCGUUAG